UACAUGUGUCUUGCUUCUAUAUUUUUAUUUGCAUGCCAAAUACAGUACAUAUAGUUGCAUAUACAAAAAAUAAAUUCAUUGGUUAAGAUUUAAUGAUUCCUCAUUAAUGGAAUUAAGAAACCUGCAGAUGGAGUAUCCAGAAGUUGGUCUUGAAAGAUGGGCUGAAGAGCUUUGUGUUAAAAAGACGGUGGAUAACUUUUUAUUAGCAAACAUUAUGUUGUGAAGGAGUAUGUUGGUCAUUAGAGAUUUACUACUACUUCAUGAGUAUAUGUGACUAGGGCAAGGAAGAUUGGUAUGUCAUUUGAAUACCUUUUUGAAAACUGGGAAGCUAAGCUGCUAGAAGUCAAGUAUUGAAGAUGUAGAGGUAGUUAGGAGAGUUUGAAAAGUUUUACAAGUGACUUGGAGAAUGCUUUCUAUGAAGAAGUAUGGGAAGUAGCUAAAGGAGAAUUCUAUGGACUAAGAUUCUUGAAGCUAAUAAACUUGAGCAUUGUGCAAGCUAAUAAGCGAUGGUGAUUUCCCAUGUCUCGAGUUGUUAGUCUUGAGAUGUUAUUGUUUGGAAAAGUUCCCUUAGCUUGGUGUUUAACAGAAAAUUUGAAGCUGCAGUCAAUUAAGUUGGAUUAGUGUGGCCCUUCCCUGAGCUUGUUGCUUUUGCUAAGCAGAUUCAGUACUGGCAAGUUGAAAUGGGAAACUGCAUUUUUGAGGUUAGAAUGAUCCAUUUU